AACGGAUCACCUGGCACCCCGACUGGGUACCUCCGUUGAAGGAUGCUCCUAGCGCUUCCUGAGGACUCCAAGCACUGCAGCAGACACCACAACCACCGAACCGGAGAAGCAUACGAAUGCUCUCAAGCAUAUGAAUGCUGUAAGCAGCUGAACAGGAAAAGCAUACAAUCAGCUUACACUCCUGGCAAUCAGCAUACACUCCAAUUCCCCCAAUAACGAGACGACACUUCGUUUUGAGGUCAAGCAGAACUGACCGUACUGGCACUUGCAGCCUCUUUUAUUCCCAAUCCACAAACAUAGUACUGCCCACAGGGUUUUGAAAUACAACCAAUCAAUCCGUACAAUACACACAGACACUUCCACACAAAAUCCUCCCCUCUGCCUGUGAUAUG